UGCGUAGGUGGCCUGACAAGUCAGGGGUCAAAGGCAACGGCUCAACCGUUGUAAGCCCUUGAAACUGUCGGGCUUGAGUUCAGGAGAGGAAAGCGGAAUUCCUAGUGUAGCGGUGAAAUGCGUAGAUAUUAGGAGGAACACCAGUGGCGAAGGCGGCUUUCUGGACUGAUACUGACACUGAGGCACGAAAGCGUGGGAGCAAACAG
rnacentral:rRNA from 1 species